GUCUGCGUAGCUCAGUCGGUUAGAGUGUAGGUCUCAUAUCUACAAAUCAAUAGGGAAAUCCUAAGGUCGCGAGUUCGAUCCUCGCCGCGGACA